AUGUUAACGGACAGCAGCAGCAGCUUUGGGUCGGGCGCCCCCGGGUCAAAGCGGGAUCUGGCUGACCUUAAUGCAAGCCGGCAACUGAAGGCCAAAAUAACAACCCAGCAUGGCUCAACUUCAGUUGCCUCUGCUGCUUCCAUGGGCAAUAUGAAUAUACAGAGCUGCGCAUUAAAUAUCAGGACGUCUUUGGCCCAUGGACCAGACAGACAUCGUUUGGGCUCGAUUAUUGUAUCUGAGCAGGGUCCCCACCAGCGUAAUCUAUUGAGGGAGCUACUGAGGGACUAUAACCGUAUGGAGA
rnacentral:lncRNA from 13 species